AUGAACGCUAGCGACAGGCUUAACACAUGCAAGUCGAGGGGCAGCGGGGGUAGCGAUACCCGCCGGCGACCGGCGCACGGGUGAGUAACGCGUAUGCAACUUGCCUAUCAGAGGGGGAUAACCCGGCGAAAGUCGGACUAAUACCGCAUGAAGCAGGGGCCCCGCAUGGGGAUAUUUGCUAAAGAUUCAUCGCUGAUAGAUAGGCAUGCGUUCCAUUAGGCAGUUGGCGGGGUAACGGCCCACCAAACCGACGAUGGAUAGGGGUUCUGAGAGGAAGGUCCCCCACAUUGGUACUGAGACACGGACCAAACUCCUACGGGAGGCAGCAGUGAGGAAUAUUGGUCAAUGGCCGAGAGGCUGAACCAGCCAAGUCGCGUGAGGGAUGAAGGUUCUAUGGAUCGUAAACCUCUUUUAUAAGGGAAUAAAGUGCGGGACGUGUCCCGUUUUGUAUGUACCUUAUGAAUAAGGAUCGGCUAACUCCGUGCCAGCAGCCGCGGUAAUACGGAGGAUCCGAGCGUUAUCCGGAUUUAUUGGGUUUAAAGGGUGCGUAGGCGGCCUUUUAAGUCAGCGGUGAAAGUCUGUGGCUCAACCAUAGAAUUGCCGUUGAAACUGGGGGGCUUGAGUAUGUUUGAGGCAGGCGGAAUGCGUGGUGUAGCGGUGAAAUGCAUAGAUAUCACGCAGAACCCCGAUUGCGAAGGCAGCCUGCAAAGCCAUUACUGACGCUGAUGCACGAAAGCGUGGGGAUCAAACAGGAUUAGAUACCCUGGUAGUCCACGCAGUAAACGAUGAUCACUAGCUGUUUGCGAUACACUGUAAGCGGCACAGCGAAAGCGUUAAGUGAUCCACCUGGGGAGUACGCCGGCAACGGUGAAACUCAAAGGAAUUGACGGGGGCCCGCACAAGCGGAGGAACAUGUGGUUUAAUUCGAUGAUACGCGAGGAACCUUACCCGGGUUUGAACGCAUUCGGACCGAGGUGGAAACACCUUUUCUAGCAAUAGCCGUUUGCGAGGUGCUGCAUGGUUGUCGUCAGCUCGUGCCGUGAGGUGUCGGCUUAAGUGCCAUAACGAGCGCAACCCUUGCCACUAGUUACUAACAGGUAAAGCUGAGGACUCUGGUGGGACUGCCAGCGUAAGCUGCGAGGAAGGCGGGGAUGACGUCAAAUCAGCACGGCCCUUACAUCCGGGGCGACACACGUGUUACAAUGGCGUGGACAAAGGGAAGCCACCUGGCGACAGGGAGCGAAUCCCCAAACCACGUCUCAGUUCGGAUCGGAGUCUGCAACCCGACUCCGUGAAGCUGGAUUCGCUAGUAAUCGCGCAUCAGCCAUGGCGCGGUGAAUACGUUCCCGGGCCUUGUACACACCGCCCGUCAAGCCAUGGGAGCCGGGGGUACCUGAAGUCCGUAACCGCGAGGAUCGGCCUAGGGUAAAACUGGUGACUGGGGCU
rnacentral:rRNA from 1 species